CCCUUAGAUGUUCUGGGCUGCACGCGUGCUACAAUGGCGUUUCCAGCAAGUCUGCGAACCCGAGAGGGCCAGCGGAUCUUCGAAUUGGCGUCGUGAUCGGGACGGUCGAUUGCAAUUAUUUGACUCAAACGAGGAAUUCCUUGUAAUCGCGAUUCAUCAUAUCGCGCUGAAUACGUCCCUGCCCUUUGUACACACCGCCCGUCGCUCCUACCGAUUGAGCGAUCCGGUAAAUGUUUUGGAUUGGUGCCGGGGCGGCUAGCUGCCGGUCGCUACGAAAUUUUGUGAACCUUAUCGCUUAGAGGAAGGAAAAGUCGUAACA
rnacentral:rRNA from 1 species